AUAGAAUUCACUUUUUGGUGAAUCAAACAUGGCAACAGACUCGUGGAAGAAACAUUCCAUGCGAACAAAUGGGUCUCAGGACUAAGGUAUCCGUGACCAUUACCUUUCAAAUGGUGUUCAUGUAAGACACAGGGAAACAGGUGUCAUUAAAAACUUUGUCAAAGUUAUGGCUUUAUUGAGUGUGCUGAACAGGAUCUUCGAGUGUUCUUUCAUUACAGUCAGUACAAAGGACAUUCAAGUGAACUGGAACUUGGUGGAAUUGUUUUUUCUUCCAUAUCAUCAAGCUGAUGUUUUAUCAAAGUCUCACAUCUACAAAGGUGAUACUGUGUCUUUUUACAUC